GACGACCGCUGGCGGCGUGCUUAACACAUGCAAGUCGAGCCGAGCGGCGAACGGGUGAGUAACGCGUGAGUAACUGCCCCCCUCCCUGGGAUAACAGUUGGACACGGCUGCUAAUACCGGCUAGUGGGGGAUGAAUCGCGUCCUAUCAGCUUGUUGUUGGGGUAGUGGCCUACCAAGGCGACGACGGGUAGCCGGCCUGAGAGGGCGACCGGCCAAAUUGGGCUGAGGUACGGCCCAAACUCCUACGGGAGGCAGCAGUGGGGAAUAUUGCACAAUGGGGGAAACCCUGAUGCAGAAAUGCCGCGUGCGGGAUGACGGCCUUCGGGUUGUAAACCGCUUUCAGCCAGGACGCGGUAGUGGCAGAAGAAGCACCGGCUAACUACGUGCCAGCAGCCGCGGUAAUUC
rnacentral:rRNA from 1 species